CAAUAGCGUAUGUUAAAGUUGUUGCGGUUAAAAAGCUCGUAGUUGGAUUUCUGCCGAGGACGACCGGUCCGCCCUCUGGGUGUGUAUCUGGUUUGGCCUGGGCAUCUUCUUGGAGAACGUAGCUGCACUUGACUGUGUGGUGCGGUGUCCAGGACUUUUACUUUGAGGAAAUUAGAGUGUUUCAAGCAGGCACACGCCUUGAAUACAUUAGCAUGGAAUAAUAAGAUAGGACCUCGGUUCUAUUUUGUUGGUUUCUAGAGCUGAGGUAAUGAUUAAUAGGGAUAGUUGGGGGCAUUCGUAUUUAACUGUCAGAGGUGAAGUUCUUGGAUUUGUUAAAGACGGACUACUGCGAAAGCAUUUGCCAAGGAUGUUUUCAUUGA
rnacentral:rRNA from 1 species